CCUACGGGUGGCAGCAGUGGGGGAUAUUGCACAAUGGGGGAAACCCUGAUGCAGCGACGCCGCGUGAGUGAAGAAGUAUUUCGGUAUGUAAAGCUCUAUCAGCAGGGACGAAGCAAGUGACGGUACCUGAGGAAGAAGCCACGGCUAACUACGUGCCAGCAGCCGCGGUAAUACGUAGGUGGCACGCGUUAUCCGGAUUUACUGGGUGUAAAGGGCGUGUAGGCGGGAAAGCAAGUCAGAUGUGAAAACCAUGGGCUCAACCUGUGGCCUGCAUUUGGAGCUGUUUUUCUUGAGUACUGGAGAGGCAGACGGAAUGCCUAGUGUAGCGGUGAAAUGCGUAGAUAUUAGGAGGAACACCAGUGGCGAAGGCGGUCUGCUGGACAGCAACUGACGCUGAGGCGCGAAAGCGUGGGGAGCAAACAGGAUUAGAUAGUAGUC
rnacentral:rRNA from 1 species